ensembl:misc_RNA
UUCUCAGGCUAUUGAAGUAAAUGAAGAAGUAAUAUUUAUCCACUGUAGGUACUCCACUUCUUUCAGAAUGGCUGUGGAAAAUGUAUUCAGACAUGCUGAGAGAUGCUGACCAAGGUGAAUUCCCAUACUUUUCAGGU